rnacentral:lncRNA from 1 species
UCCGUGUGCCAAAAAUAGGCCACGGGCACACCCGCGCCCAAAAAUCAGCCCCCGAAGGUCGGGGCGCCAAGACCCCCCAGCGGAAAAAUGGCCAAAAAAUGGGUGGGCUAUAGCCUUGGUGGGGGACGUGGGCGAAGUUCGUCCGCCGGACUCGGAAUGGCCCCAGACUUUGCGGGCGGCCUCCGUGUGCCAAAAAUAGGCCACGGGCACACCCGCGCCCAAAAUUAAGCCCCCGAAGGUCGGGGCGCCAAGACCCCCCAGCGGAAAAAUGGCCAAAAAACGGGUGGGCUAUAGCCUUGGUGGGGGGCGUGGGCGAAGCUCGUCCGCCGGACUCGGAAUGGCCCCAGACUUUGCGGGCGGCCUCCGUGUGCCAAAAAUAGGCCACGGGCACACCCGCGCCCAAAAUUCAGCCCCCGAAGGUCGGGGCGCCAAGACCCCCCAGCGGAAAAAUGGCCAAAAAACGGGUGGGCUAUAGCCUUGGUGGGGGGCGUGGGCGAAGUUCGUCCGCCGGACUCGGAAUGGCCCCAGACUUUGCGGGCGGCCUCCGUGUGCCAAAAAUAGGCCACGGGCACACCCGCGCCCAAAAUUCAGCCCCCGAAGGUCGGGGCGCCAAGACCCCCCAGCGGAAAAAUGGCCAAAAAACGGGUGGGCUAUAGCCUUGGUGGGGGGCGUGGGCGAAGUUCGUCCGCCGGACUCGCAAUGGCCCCAGACUUUGCGGGCGGCCUCCGUGUGCCAAAAAUAGGCCACGGGCACACCCGCGCCCAAAAAUCAGCCCCCGAAGGUCGGGGCGCCAAGACCCCCCAGCGGAAAAAUGGCCAAAAAACGGGUGGGCUAUAGCCUUGGUGGGGGGCGUGGGCGAAGUUCGUCCGCCGGACUCGGAAUGGCCCCAGACUUUGCGGGCGGCCUCCGUGUGCCAAAAAUAGGCCACGGGCACACCCGCUCCCAAAAUUCAGCCCCCGAAGGUCGGGGCGCCAAGACCCCUCAGCGGAAAAAUGGCCAAAAAACGGGUGGGCUAUAGCCUUGGUGGGGGGUGUGGGCGAAGCUCGUCCGCCGGACUCGGAAUGGCCCCAGACUUUGCGGGCGGCCUCCGUGUGCCAAAAAUAGGCCACGGGCACACCCGCGCCCAAAAUUCAGCCCCCGAAGGUCGGGGCGCCAAGACCCCCCAGCGGAAAAAUGGCCAAAAAACGGGUGGGCUAUAGCCUUGGUGGGGGGCGUCGGCGAAGUUCGUCCGCCGGACUCGGAAUGGCCCCAGACUUUGCGGGCGGCCUCCGUGUGCCAAAAAUAGGCCACGGGCACACCCGCGCCCAAAAUUCAGCCCCCGAAGGUCGGGGCGCCAAGACCCCCCAGCGGAAAAAUGGCCAAAAAACGGGUGGGCUAUAGCCUUGGUGGGGGGCGUGGGCGAAGUUCGUCCGCCGGACUCGCAAUGGCCCCAGACUUUGCGGGCGGCCUCCGUGUGCCAAAAUAGGCCACGGGCACACCCGCGCCCAAAAAUCAGCCCCCGAAGGUCGGGGCGCCAAGACCCCCCAGCGGAAAAAUGGCCAAAAAACGGGUGGGCUAUAGCCUUGGGGCCCCAGACUUUGCGGGCGGCCUCCGUGUGCCAAACAUAGGCCACGGGCACACCCGCGCCCAAAAUUCAGCCCCCGAAGGUCGGGGCGCCAAGACCCCCCAGCGGAAAAAUGGCCAAAAAACGGGUGGGCUAUAGCCUUGGUGGGGGGCGUGGGCGAAGUUCGUCCGCCGGACUCGGAAUGGCCCCAGACUUUGCGGGCGGCCUCCGUGUGCCAAAAAUAGGCCACGGGCACACCCGCGCCCAAAAUUCAGCCCCCGAAGGUCGGGGCGCCAAGACCCCCCAGCGGAAAAAUGGCCAAAAAACGGGUGGGCUAUAGCCUUGGUGGGGGGCGUGGGCGAAGUUCGUCCGCCGGACUCGCAAUGGCCCCAGACUUUGCGGGCGGCCUCCGUGUGCCAAAAAUAGGCCACGGGCACACCCGCGCCCAAAAAUCAGCCCCCGAAGGUCGGGGCGCCAAGACCCCCCAGCGGAAAAAUGGCCAAAAAACGGGUGGGCUAUAGCCUUGGUGGUGGGCGUGGGCGAAGUUCGUCCGCCGGACUCGGAAUGGCCCCAGACUUUGCGGGCGGCCUCCGUGUGCCAAAAAUAGGCCACGGGCACACCCGCGCCCAAAAUUCAGCCCCCGAAGGUCGGGGCGCCAAGACCCCCCAGCGGAAAAAUGGCCAAAAAAUGGGUGGGCUAUAGCCUUGGUGGGGGGCGUGGGCGAAGCUCGUCCGCCGGACUCAGAAACCGCGUAUGACAGAUCCGGGCGGCCUCCGUGUGCCAAAAAUAGGCCACGGGCACACCCGCGCCCAAAAAUCAGCCCCCGAAGGUCGGGGCGCCAAGACCCCCCAGCGGAAAAAUGGCCAAAAAACGGGUGGGCUAUAGCCUUGGUGGGGGGCGUGGGCGAAGUUCGUCCGCCGGACUCGGAAUGGCCCCAGACUUUGCGGGCGGCCUCCGUGUGCCAAAAAUAGGCCACGGGCACACCCGCGCCCAAAAUUCAGCCCCCGAAGGUCGGGGCGCCAAGACCCCCCAGCGGAAAAAUGGCCAAAAAACGGGUGGGCUAUAGCCUUGGUGGGGGGCGUGGGCGAAGUUCGUCCGCCGGACUCGGAAUGGCCCCAGACUUUGCGGGCGGCCUCCGUGUGCCAAAAAUAGGCCACGGGCACACCCGCGCCCAAAAAUCAGCCCCCGAAGGUCGGGGCGCCAAGACCCCCCAGCGGAAAAAUGGCCAAAAAACGGGUGGGCUAUAGCCUUGGUGGGGGGCGUGGGCGAAGUUCGUCCGCCGGACUCGGAAUGGCCCCAGACUUUGCGGGCGGCCUCCGUGUGCCAAAAAUAGGCCACGGGCACACCCGCGCCCAAAAUUCAGCCCCCGAAGGUCGGGGCGCCAAGACCCCCCAGCGGAAAAAUGGCCAAAAAACGGGUGGGCUAUAGCCUUGGUGGGGGGCGUGGGCGAAGCUCGUCCGCCGGACUCGGAAUGGCCCCAGACUUUGCGGGCGGCCUCCGUGUGCCAAAAAUAGGCCACGGGCACACCCGCGCCCAAAAAUCAGCCCCCGAAGGUCGGGGCGCCAAGACCCCCCAGCGGAAAAAUGGCCAAAAAACGGGUGGGCUAUAGCCUUGGUGGGGGGCGUGGGCGAAGUUCGUCCGCCGGACUCGCAAUGGCCCCAGACUUUGCGGGCGGCCUCCGUGUGCCAAAAAUAGGCCACGGGCACACCCGCGCCCAAAAUUCAGCCCCCGAAGGUCGGGGCGCCAAGACCCCCCAGCGGAAAAAUGGCCAAAAAACGGGUGGGCUAUAGCCUUGGUGGGGGGCGUGGGCGAAGUUCGUCCGCCGGACUCGGAAUAGCCCCAGACUUUGCGGGCGGCCUCCGUGUGCCAAAAAUAGGCCACGGGCACACCCGCGCCCAAAAUUCAGCCCCCGAAGGUCGGGGCGCCAAGACCCCCCAGCGGAAAAAUGGCCAAAAAACGGGUGGGCUAUAGCCUUGGUGGGGGGCGUGGGCGAAGUUCGUCCGCCGGACUCGGAAUGGCCCCAGACUUUGCGGGCGGCCUCCGUGUGCCAAAAAUAGGCCACGGGCACACCCGCGCCCAAAAUUCAGCCCCCGAAGGUCGGGGCGCCAAGACCCCCCAGCGGAAAAAUGGCCAAAAAACGGGUGGGCUAUAGCCUUGGUGGGGGGCGUGGGUGAAGUUCGUGCGCCGGACUCGGAAUGGCCCCAGACUUUGCGGGCCGCCUCCGUGUGCCAAAAAUAGGCCACGGGCACACCCGCGCCCAAAAAUCAGCCCCCGAAGGUCGGGGCGCCAAGACCCCCCAGCGGAAAAAUGGCCAAAAAAUGGGUGGGCUAUAGCCUUGGUGGGGGACGUGGGCGAAGUUCGUCCGCCGGACUCGGAAUGGCCCCAGACUUUGUGGGCGGCUUCCGUGGGCCAAAAAU